rnacentral:rRNA from 1 species
GAUGAACGCUGGCGGCAGGCCUAAUACAUGCAAGUCGAACGGGAUCACGGUACUUGCUUCUGCUGACAGUGGCGCACGGGUGCGUAACACGUAUGUACACUGCCAUUAUCAGUGGGGUAGCCUCUCGCAAGAGAGAUUAAGCCCGCAUACAGUAACAGCACAACAGUGUGUAAUGAUGAAAUAUUUAUCCGAUCACGAUGGGCAUGCGGAACAUUAGCUAGGUGGCGGGGUAACGGCCAACCAUGGCGACGCUGCUGAGGUGAGCUGAUCGGAGGGCCCACUAGACUGGUACUGAGACCCGGACCAGACUCCUACGGGAGGCAGCGGUAAGGAAGACAGUGCAAGGGAGGCAAGCCUGAACCAGCCACGCCGGUUGCAGGAAGACUGCCCUACGGGAUGUAUACUGCUGGUAUACGGGAACAAACCCAGAUACGUGUAUCUGUCUGACGGUACUGUAAGAAUAAGCACCGGCUAACUCCGUG